GACAAACGCUGGCGGCGUACUUAAGACAUGCAAGUCGAACGGGUGUCCUGCUUUCGGGUGGGAUGCUAGUGGCGGAUGGGUGAGUAACGCGUAGGAACCUGUCGUUAAGUGGGGGAGUACCGCUGGGAACCGGACGCUAAUACCGCAUGUGGUCGGAGCGAUCGAAGAAAGACAGCACUGCGCUUGAUGAGGGGCCGUGCGUCCGAUUAGCUAGUU
rnacentral:rRNA from 1 species